rnacentral:rRNA from 1 species
UACGGGGGGAGCAAGCGUUGUUCGGAUUUACUGGGCGUAAAGGGCGCGUAGGCGGUCAGCACAAGUCAGUUGUGAAAUCUCCGGGCUUAACUCGGAAAGGUCAACUGAUACUGUGCGACUAGAGUGCGGAAGGGGCAACUGGAAUUCUCGGUGUAGCGGUGAAAUGCGUAGAUAUCGGGAGGAACACCGGUGGCGAAGGCGGCGACCUGGGUAGAUACUGACGCUGAGGCGCGAAAGCGUGGGGAGCAAACAGG